CUUGUUCCACCUUGUGGCAGGUGGGAGUCCUGUCAUGACAGUCUUCAAUAAAGACCAAGCCUACUGGCUGCUGUUUUGCUCUGGUAUUCCUGGCUGGUUUCCUUGUUUUUUGUCCAAGGGAGCCCUCAGAUUUCUCCGUUUUAACAGACCACAUCGGCAAGAACCAAGAUGGGGGCUUUUCGUCUGGGAAACCCAGGACCUCCAUAAACACUGCCUGGGCUUGCACCCUGGGAAGGUCACUUCGCUGCUGCUUAUGCACACUGCAUUGUCUCUUGAGACAGACAGAUGCCAACAAGCUGUUUAGGGGCUUUAAACACUAAUGUAAAGGUAAAGGGACCCCUGACCAUUAGGUCCAGUCGUGGCCGACUCUGGGGUUGCGGUGCUCAUCUUGCUUUAUUGGCCGAGGGAGCCGGCGUACAGCUUCCGGGUCAUGUGGCCAGCAUGACUAAGCCGCUUCUGGAGAACCAGAGCAGCACAUGGAAAUGCCGUUUACCUUCCCGCCGGAGAGGUACCUAUUUAUCUACUUGCACUUUGACGUUCUUUCGAACUGCUAGGUUGGCAGGAGCAGGGACUGAGCAACGGGAGCUCACCCCAUCGUGGGGAUUCGAACCACCGACCUUCUGAUCAGCAAGUCCUGGGCUCUGUGGUUUAACCUACAGCGCCACCCGCAUCCCCAAAACACUAAUGUAAGCACCUUGAAUUGGACCUGGAAAUGAAGUGGCAGCCAGCAACAGCUGUUUUAAAAGAGAAGCUGUGUGGAGUUCUGAAUUUAACCUCAGUCUGUAAUCUCAAGUGCUGCAUUUCGGAUUAGCUUAAAAUUUCCAACCCAGAGUCUUUACAUAAACACUGCCUUAUCUUUAUUAGCAAAGAAUGAGGCGGGUUCAACAUGACAUGUCAGUGAGUCAUCCACGGUUGCUAGAGAUUACAAGCAAUUUAAGCUUUCACUGACAGCAAGACAUGAGGAAUGUAAACUCUCCUUUCCUCCUCAGUUGCUAAUGUUUAGCCUUUAAAUCAUAUAUUUACUGUUGCUCUAUUGUAAGAGGUGUGGGGAACAGCAGGAGACACAACCUUCCAUGCUCUGAUUUUCAGUAAACGGGAAUGCUUUGAAUCUGUGCAAAACCAAAACAACCUUCUUAUGCAUGCUAAACAACUCUCUAUAGAAAAGACAUUCUGUAUGGUAUUAAGGGGAAUAAGCACACAUUUCUAGAAGACACCAAACUGUAUUAGCUGCCUUGUUGAUGCAAUUUUCAGCAGCAGUUACAGAGAGAGGAAAGACUUUGUCAUUGGGUAAAGAACUGGCCAAUAGCAAUCCAUGCCAGUUGCAACACCCAUUCUGUGCUCUAAUAUUCUAUUUUCAGAAGAAAGGAGGCAAUUAUCUGUGUGAAGCAGAGUCCAGUAGGUACUGAUGGGUAUUUAAAAAACAGACAAACAAGGACACCUAUUUACCUUUCCUUUGCCUGGAGUAUAAUAAACGUCUCAAUCUGGGCUGAAACCAUGCAGUAUCAAAGAGGGAUAUAAGUGUUAACUGCAUAUUGGACAGCAGCCUGGAGUUCAGCUUCCUUCUCUAAGGCUGAGAACUUGAGCCAAACAGCUUUCUAAAGGAAUUUGCUAAGGAGACAUGCAUGUUAAGUAAGAGAUAACCAGAAGAGCUUAGCGUUCUUUGCUAUUGCUUUUUAAAAAUUCAUUUUUUUAAAAAAAAAUUCUUAUUGGGCAGCAUUCUUUGGCUUAGAAAAUAAAUCCACAGUGUCCUCAAUCAUUAAAUUGCUUACUGCACAGAAACCUAUUACUUUACCGGUCCUGCCUGAUAGUCAGACAUUGGGAACUUGUUGCCUUUGGCAUGUUGUUGGACUCUAAUUCCCAUUAGCUGCAGCCAGCAUGGCCAGUGGUGAAGGAUGAUGGGAGUUGUAGUCUGGAAAGCAAGCAGAGGUUUCCCACCCUCCCAUAGUUCAUGGGAAAUCAAAGCUCAAACACUAAAGGAUAACUGGUGCAGGUUUCUUCCAGGGCCGGCCCAACCAUGAGGCAAGGACUGCCUUAGGCGGCAGGAUUUGCAGGGACAGCAGAUCUCAAUGUAGAUCUUUAUCCCCCGCCCCCCUUAUUCCUGAUGUAGAUUUUCACUCACCCUUCUUCCCUGGUGGGGAGGAGGCCCCAUUUUGUCAUUCACUUCACGCCCCAGUCUUGGGCCAGCCCUAGCUUAAAGCUAAGAAGGUGUUGGUUUGCUGAAUCUGGACUGAAUUCAGCCUUCUCACAGGUGUUGGUAACUUAACUGGUUUAUUAACAGGUUUUUAUUCCAUUCCAGGGCAGGACUCUUUAAUAUAUGCCUGCCACAGCUUUUCUCCUAGGUCAGAGGUUUCCAAACUCUGGUCCAUGGACCACCCGUGGUCUGUGAGCUUCAUGCAGGUGGUCUAGGGCAUGUGUAUGGAUUUGGAGUUGAAGGUGGGAGGCGAUGCAUCCACUGCAUUAAACAUCCUUAUUGAUUUUUAACUAUUUUUAUUGCAUCUUUCAUUUCUUAUGUUCUAUUUUAUUGCAUUACAGUUUGAAAUCUAUGCAAUUCAAAUUGCAAUGCAAUAAAAUAAAAUGCAUAAGAAACAAACGAAGCAAAAAGGUACAGUUAAAAAUCAUACGGAUCUCGAAAAGCACAAUACAAUUGUUACAGCAGGUCGGGUGGAAACAUCAUUAAGUGGUCUGCCAAGAACCUGAGCAAUUUUCCAGUGUGCCAUGGAACAAAAAGUAUGGGAAACAUUGAGGUAGGCCCUGGGAAGACUGUGAAAGAGGAGUUGGAGUUAUUUGGGAACGGUGCACAGUAUUUCACUGUGCCUGAGUGUAUGUGGCCAAUACACACAAUACACAUGGCCAGUUUCCCAUAAACCCUAUAUGUACUGUCCUAAAUUCUGUGGAAGCAGAGAUACAUACAUGUAGCCUUUUGGAGUAACAUCAACCUCUUUUUUUCUUACAGAUAAUUACUGCAGCUUGAACACCUCUUUGCAUUUCAGCUUCAGGAUCAGAGAGAAGAAUCCCAUGGAAACAUAUCACAUUACAGAACUGGGUUGUUGUUGUGGUUUAGUCGUUUAGUCGUGUCCGACUCUUCAUGACCCCAUGGACCAGAGCAUGCCAGGCACUCCUGUCUUCCACUGCCUCCCGCAGUUUGGUCAAACUCAUGCUGGUAGCUU